UAUAGUUCAAUUUAACUACAAAAACUGCCACUGACAGCUCUCUCUCCCUCCCGUUACCCAAGCCUUCUGAACCCUUACCUAUUCGGACUCUCGACCCUUAAAAAAAAAUCUCUCUCUGUGAGAUCGGAGCCAACCAUGUCCGACGAGGAGCACCACUUCGAGUCUAAGGUCGACGCCGGAGCCUCCAAGACCUCUCCUCAGCAUUUCGUAGUUUGAUUGAAUUAAUGGGACGAGAGGGAUUCGAUUCCCUCCAAACGGUGCAUUUCUUCAGCUCCAAUAUCUCUCUUUCUCAGAUCUGAAUUCCUCGAUUCUCUUAUACCGCUCAUCUUCGUCGCUGAUCAUCUUCUCUAUUAUUGUUUUUCUUUUGUCUUAAUUAACUUUCCUGAAAUCGUUUUCAGUAACUCAAAUUCAAAGAUCAAAGCAGCAACGAAGGAAUUGGGUUGCUAUCGUUCACUGUGAGCCAUGAAUGCUCGAAGAUUAGCUCGUUAUAAAUCCGAUUGAUUUCGUCUUUAAUAAUUUUCUGCUUUUAGUUCCUGAACAUUAUCAGUUAUGUAUCUGCUUGAUCUUGCUGUUACCGAAAUAGUAAUUUCAUGUUUUUGAUUUGUGCAUAAAGUAGUGAUUGUGUAGGAAGUGCUAAUUGAAUGAUGAACAAACAGAAUUCGGAUUCUUCGUCUUACCGCAGUUAAUGAUUAAGCUUAUGUCUAAGAAUUUUGAGCUAUUAGAGAAUAGUGAGAUAUGUAUCUGCAGUUUCUGUGUGAUACUCGGUUCUCUGUUUGUUUCAAUUAGCAACAUUUGUCAUAGGGAAGGUUUAAUCUACUUAGCUUGGCCUCUGUUCCUUGUCUCGUUGGACUUGGUGUUCCAAUUCUUUAGAUUUCUACAACUAGUGUUCCUUCUGUAGAUACAAUUGGUGUUCCAAGCGAAUGCUUACUGUUGACAAAUAUGUUUGAUCCCAAAGAAAUUGAGGUUUGUGGUGGACGCCCUCAAUAAAAAUUCAUCAUUUUGAUUCCAUGAGUGGUGUAUUAUAUAAUUAUUGGUUCCCUUUUUGAGUGGGCUGAACCAGAUAUUGACAUGGACAUUAAAGAAGAUGUUCAGGAGGAAUAUUCAAAAUACGGGAAGCUGAAACAUAUCUUUGUUGACAAGUAAGUUUUGUUUGCAUUAGUGCUUGUGUCCUUUUUUCAGUUUUAGAGAUCUAUGUCUACUCUUGUUACACGUUUAAUGAGCAGGAAUACAGCUGGUUUUGUGUACUUGAGAGAUUUGAGAACACAUAAGUUGCAAUAAAUGCUCGACAAGUUCUCCAUGGAAGAUGGUUUGCUGGAAGAUGAUCAUAGCGACUUUCAUGUUGCCUCAUAUCUGUGAGACUAAAUUCCCUGAAAGCCGAUAGGAUUAUGCACAUUAGGAAUGUGAAGAAGGCAGCUGGUAUGCCUGUUAGGUCCAAUUUCCAGAUGAUGGAGUAUUUAAUUGUCCUCGUGGCUUUGUGUAACAAGAAAGAAUGUAAUGUUGAGAUGAGAAAGUUGCAUGUACAUCACUUGGAAUUUUUCAGUCAAUGCAAUGUGAAAUUAUAGAUACUGUUUAUAGACUAAUUUUUCAGUAA